CGACCGCUGGCGGCGUGCUUAACACAUGCACGUCGAACGGAAAGGCCCCUUUGGGGGUACUCGAGUGGCGAACGGGUGAGUAACACGUGAGUAACCUGCCCUUGACUUCGGGAUAACUUCAGGAAACUGGGGCUAAUACCGGAUAGGAAUCCUUGCUGCAUGGUGGGGGUUGGAAAGCUUCGGCGGUUUUGGAUGGACUCGCGGCUUAUCAGCUUGUUGGUGGGGUAGUGGCUUACCAAGGCUUUGACGGGUAGCCGGCCUGAGAGGGCGACCGGCCACAUUGGGACUGAGAUACGGCCCAGACUCCUACGGGAGGCAGCAGUGGGGAAUAUUGCACAAUGGGCGGAAGCCUGAUGCAGCAACGCCGCGUGCGGGAGGACGGCCUUCGGGUUGUAAACCGCUUUCAGCAGGGGCGAAGCUUGUGGUGACGGUACCUGCAGAAGAAGCACCGGCUAACUACGUG
rnacentral:rRNA from 1 species